GGUGCAUGGUUGUCGUCAGCUCGUGUCGUGAGAUGUUGGGUUAAGUCCCGCAACGAGCGCAACCCUUGUCUUUAGUUGCCAUCAUUAAGUUGGGCACUCUAGAGAGACUGCCAGGGAUAACCUGGAGGAAGGUGGGGAUGACGUCAAAUCAUCAUAACCCUUAUACUUAGGGCUACACACGUGCUACAAUGGGUAGUACAGAGGGUUGCCAAGCCGUAAGGUGGAGCUAAUCCCUUAAAGCUACUCUCAGUUCGGAUUGUAGGCUGAAACUCGCCUACAUGAAGCUGGAGUUACUAGUAAUCGCAGAUCAGAAUGCUGCGGUGAAUGCGUUCCCGGGUCUUGUACACACCGCCCGUCACACCACGGGAGUUGGAGACGCCCGAAGCCGAUUAUCUAACCUUUUGGAAGAAGUCGUCGAAGGUGGAAUCAAUAACUGGGGUGAAGUCGUAACAAGGUAGCCGUAUCGGAAGGUGCGGCUGGAUCACCUCCUUUCUAAGGA
rnacentral:rRNA from 1 species